ensembl:lncRNA
GUUUGGGCAGGUGGGGGCAGGGAUGCUCAUGGCAGGGCAGAAAGAACAACAUCUUGUCUGCUUGUGCAUGAGUGCAAAGCCUGGGGGUCACGAGGUCCUGUUUACCUGUGGCAGGUAUUUCCUCUAUGGGCUGAUAAGAGCCGACCAGGGGAAGUGCUCCGUCACAGAGAGUUUCAGGAGGAAGGAUUGCUGGAAGAGAUCAGUGGGAGCCACUGAGUGGGCAGAGAAAAAUAGCCAGGCCAGUGAAGAUGGAUGGGUGACAGUCCCAUCGGUCACAGCGAUUCAGCGCUCAGUCACCACGGAGACAAGCAGUGAAACCGGGAAUGCUGGAAGGCCACAACCUGAGAAAAAAAUUAUAUGGAAAAGAAAGCAGAUUCAAUUUUAUAAAUGUAAAUCACAAACUGAUAAAUGCAGUUGGUACUUUCCAUGAAUGCAGACCCAUUAUUUUGGGACUAUUGGACAAUGUUUUUUUUUUUUAAUUAUUACAGACAGAAAUCUUAUGUUUUUUGCUGUGAAAAAAAAGUAAAAUAAGUUAUUUAGGCUAAAUUUGCAAUGUUGCUUUUAAUUUGAAACAUUUCAUUUUUUAUGAUUUAGUGUUUUUAAUUUAACAUUUAGUCUAUAUUUAAUGUUGGUGGGUGUGUGUGUGUGUUUUAUUGGAAAAUAAAAAUCAGGUUUUAAACUUUUACA